GCACUUUGUUUUAAAAAAUAAACUAUAAAAUACAAUUUUUAUAACUUUUUUAUUCAAAAUUAAAAAGUAAAAUAUUUUAGGUUUUGGAUUAAUACUAACUUCCCGAGGGUAAUAGGAGCUAUAGAUGGGACACGUGUGGCAAUAUGGCCACCAGAAAGAAACAGAGAACAUCUUUACAUUAAAGCGAUGCUGCAGAUACCGACUGAACACUAUUAUUUUUAACUUCAGUAAAUUUUUUAUUGAAUGCACAGAAUGAUAAAUCCUUCUCUACAAUUAAAGUAUUGACAAAAACAUAAUACGCUGGCUACAAUUUGACACGAAAAACGGAAAAAAGUUGCAAAACUAUGUGCUUCUGUAGUAGUCUCGUGACAAUAUAUAUUGCGUAUAAAAGUUCUAGACUUUGUACCUACAAAAUAACUAUCCAGCGUACUGUGAAUUACACGUAAGAUUGUUAGUGUGCUUUCAAAACGAUCCUAGAAGCUUUAGUAUAAAAGAUAUUUCCAAUCAAAAAUAUCGUGUUCAUGUGUGCGUGCAGAAUCGAUGUGAGAAUCGGUGAAGAGUGAGACUGAGUGAGACAGAGCACUAGUUUAGUUUCUCGAUGUUGCAUUAGAGGCGCUAAAGUCAAAAGAACAAGGAAAGAUGAGUGCGUUUGAUAAAGAGCGCUAGACUAUUCCCCUUACUCUUUGCCUCGCGCGCGACCCAUAGUUCGUAGAAGAAAAAUCUGCAGCAAUCUGAAGUACCGACGUCGAGUGAGUUUCACCGUCAGUCCAGUAUCGCCUUAAUAGAAAAUUAUUUCAUUCCCUAAAUGUUAUGAUAGUAAGUAUUUAUUAUUCCACAAUAAAUAUAUUAAUAUAAUUAAACAAAUGUAAUUAACACAAAAGUUAAAUCCCGUAAUUAAUAAUUUUAUAUAGACUUAUAUACAUAUAUAUUUUUUUUUUGUUUUUAGGUCAGUGGAAUAUUGGAAUAAUAUUAGCAGUUUUGGCAAGUCACGGUACUCAUGAUUCCAGAGUUUGGAAUUUCUCUCGAUUAGCCAGAUAUAUGUUAAACAAAUAUCAGAAUAGUAGAAGAAAUGUAUGGUUAUUAGGUGAUGCAGGAUAUCCUUUAUUACCAUAUUUAAUGACACCCAAAUUAAACCAACCACCAGGAUCUCCAAGUGCAGCAUAUACAGAUGCUCAUAUUAAAACACGAUGCUAAGUCGAAAGAACAAGGUAUAUUGAAAGGUCGAUGGAGAUGUUUACGCAAAGAAAGGGCUUUGCACUAUGUACCUGAAUUUGCAGCAUUGAUCGUAAACGCAACUUGUGUUCUACAUAAUAUUGCAAAACGUUUUAAUAUUCUGAAUGGCGAUGUAUACAGAGAUGAAAAUAUUGAAGAAAAAUUAGGAUCAAUUUUUGACGAAAAUUUACGUGCAAGAGGAAAUGAAGUGCGAGAAAAAAUAAUAUUACAAUAUUUUA